rnacentral:rRNA from 1 species
GUCAAGCCUACGAAGGGCCUCACGGUGGAUACCUUGGCACACAAGGCCAAUGAAGAACGUGUUACCUGCGAUAGUUCUCGGGAGCUGGAGCACCCCUGAUCCGGAUCGAAUGGCAGCCU